GACGAACGCUGGCGGCGUGCUUAACACAUGCAAGUCGAACGGAAAGGCCCUGCUUGCAGGGUACUCGAGUGUCGAACGGGUGAGUAACACGUGGGUGAUCUGCCCUGCACUUCGGGAUAAGCCUGGGAAACUGGGUCUAAUACCGGAUAGGAGCCAUUUUUCUUGUGAUGGUUGGAAAGUUUGUUCGGUGUAGUAUGAGCUCGCGGCCUAUCAGCUUGUUUGUGGGGUAAUGGCCUACCAAGGCGGCUACGGGUAGCCGGCCUGAGAGGGUGGACGGCCAAAUUGGGAAUGAGAUACGGCCCAGACCCCUACGGGAGGGAGCAGGGGGGAAUAUUGCCCAAUGGGCGCAAGCCUGAUGCAGCGACGCCGCGUGGGGGAUGACGGCCUUCGGGUUGUAAACCCCUUUCGCUAGGGACGAAGCUUUUUGUGACGGUACCUAGAUAAGAAGCACCGGCUAACUACGUG
rnacentral:rRNA from 1 species